rnacentral:rRNA from 1 species
AGCUGGCGGCGCGCUUACACAUGCAAGUCGCACGAGAAAGCCCGCAAGGGUGAGUACAUCUGGCGUACGGGUGAGUAACACGUGGAUGAUCUACCUUCUAGUGGGGAAUAACCCUGGGAAACCGGGGCUAAUACCGCAUAAGCUCGAGAGAGGAAAGCAGCAAUGCGCUGGAAGAGGAGUCCGCGGCCGAUUAGCUAGUUGGCAGGGUAAAAGCCUACCAAGGCAGAGAUCGGUAGCCGGCCUGAGAGGGCACACGGCCACACUGGCACUGAAACACGGGCCAGACUCCUACGGGAGGCAGCAGUGGGGAAUCUUGCACAAUGGGGGAAACCCUGAUGCAGCGACGCCGCGUGAGCGAUGAAGCCCUUCGGGGUGUAAAGCUCUUUCGGCAGGGAAGAUGAUGACGGUACCUGCAGAAGCAGCUGCGGCUAACUACGUGCCAGCAGCCGCGGUAAUACGUAGGCAGCGAGCGUUGUUCGGAGUUACUGGGCGUAAAGGGUGUGUAGGCGGUUGUUUAAGUUUGGUGUGAAAUCUCCCCGACUCAAAUUGGGAGGGGUGCCCCCGAAUACUGAAAUGACUU